rnacentral:rRNA from 1 species
CCCUUAGAUGUUCUGGGCCGCACGCGUGCUACACUGAGUAAUUCAAUGGGUAAGGGAACGCUAGAGCAUUACCUAAUCUUGAAAUUUGCUCGUGAUGGGGAUCGACGGUUGCAAUUUUCCGUCGUGAACGAGGAAUACCUUGUAGGCGCAUGUCAUCAUCAUGCGCCGAAUACGUCCCUGCCCUUUGUACACACCGCCCGUCGCUCCUACCGAUUGAGUGAUCCGGUGAGGCUCUGGGACCUGGACGGAAAGAGCGUUUCGCUUGUUCUGUUUGGGAAACUUGGUCGAACCUUAUCAUUUAGAGGAAGGGGAAGUCGUAACA